GCUUGUCUCAAAGAUUAAGCCAUGCAUGUCUAAGUACAAGCCUCAGUAAGGUGAAACCGCGAAUGGCUCAUUAAAUCACACCUAAUCUACUGGAAAGUUACUAGUUACUUGGAUAACUGAGGUAAUUCUUGAGCUAAUACAUGCGAAAAAUCUCGACUCACGGAGAGAUGCUUUUAUUAGAUAACAGACCAUCUCCCCCAAAGGAAAUGUGGUGAAUCAUAGUAACUAAUCGGAUCGCAUGGGCUUUGCCCGCGACAAACCAUUCAAGUUUCUGCCCCAUCAGCUUUCGAUGGUAGUGUAUUGGACUACCAUGGCUAUUACGGGUAACGGAGGAUUAGGGUUCGAUUCCGGAGAGGGAGCCUGAGAAACGGCUACCACAUCUAAGGAAGGCAGCAGG
rnacentral:rRNA from 1 species